UCCCUGCAGUAGUGAUGGUGGAUUCAGCAGUGAAGAUGGUAUUUUUCUCAAUGAAGUGCGGUAUGUGAAGACACAAGUGAGAACAUCCAAUAGUAUAGUAUGUAUGGUACACUUUUCCUUUCUUAGAUAAAAUAAGUAUUGUACUCACAUUUUAUAGAGCAUAGACCUGCUCUGGUGUAGUAGGGCAUUGGUGGUACAAUCCCCACCUAGGAUAUGUA